rnacentral:rRNA from 1 species
AGCGGCAGCGCGGGAGCAAUCCUGGCGGCGAGCGGCGAACGGGUGAGUAAUGCUUCGGAAUCUGCCCAGUAGUGGGGAAUAACCAGCUCGAAAGACUGGCUAAUACCGCAUACGACCUAAGGGUGAAAGCAGGGGAUCGCAAGACCUUGCGCUAUUGGAUGAGCCGAAGUCGGAUUAGCUAGUUGGUGAGGUAACGGCUCACCAAGGCGACGAUCCGUAGCUGGUCUGAGAGGACGACCAGCCACACUGGGACUGAGACACGGCCCAGACUCCUACGGGAGGCAGCAGUGGGGAAUAUUGGACAAUGGGGGCAACCCUGAUCCAGCGACGCCGCGUGUGUGAAGAAGGCCUGCGGGUUGUAAAGCACUUUUAGUGGGGAGGAAAACACCUGACCUAAUACGUCAGGAAUUGACUUAACCCAAAGAAAAAGCACCGGCUAACUCUGUGCCAGCAGCCGCGGUAAUACAGAGGGUGCAAGCGUUAAUCGGAAUUACUGGGCGUAAAGCGUGCGUAGACGGUUGUUUAAGUCGGAUGUGAAAUCCCCGGGCUCAACC